AGCAGCCGCGGUAAUUCCAGCUCCAAUAGCGUAUAUUAAAGUUGUUGCAGUUAAAAAGCUCGUAGUUGAAUUUCGGGGUUAGUAGGUUGGUCAUGCCUCUGGUAUGUACUGGUCUCACUGAUUCCUCCUUCCUGAUGAACCUUAAUGCCAUUAAUUUGGUGUUUUGGGGAAUUUGGACUGUUACUUUGAAAAAUUAGAGUGUUUAAAGCAAGCUAACGCUUGAAUACAUUAGCAUGGAAUAAUGAAAUAGGACGUUCGAUCCUAUUUUGUUGGUUUCUAGGAUUGACGUAAUGAUUAAUAGGGAUAGUUGGGGGCAUUAGUAUUCAAUUGUCAGAGGUGAAAUUCUUGGAUUUAUUGAAGACUAACUACUGCGAAAGCAUUUGCCAAGGAUGUUUUCAUUAAUCAAGAACGAAAGUUAGGGGAUCGAAGACGAUCAGAUACCGUCGUAGUCUUAACCAUAAACUAUGCCGACUAGGGAUCGGAUGAUGUUAAUUUUUAAUGACUCAUUCGGCGCC
rnacentral:rRNA from 1 species